GGCUCCUGGAAUAUUUAGGAAUGACCUUAAGAUAGACAAUGUUCUGCUUGAUGAGAGUCUCACCACGAAAAUCAGCAAUUACCACAUUCCACUGCCAUUCAAGAUGGGUUCUAAAACCGCAUCGAACGAUAGCAGUCCAAAAGAUGCAGAAAGAGAAGACAUGUAUCAGCUUGGGAAGAUUCUCCUGCAAGUCAUCACUGGGAAGCUAGUCAAGUCCACCAGUGAAUUGGACGACAUGAAACAA